rnacentral:rRNA from 1 species
UACAGAGGCCUCGAGCGUUAGGCGGAAUCACUGGGCUUAAAGCGUGUGUAGGCGGACUUCUAAGUGCCUUGUGAAAUCCCACGGCUCACCCGUGGAACUGCUGGGCAUACUGGGAGUCUUGAGCCACCUAGGGGCGAGCGGAACAAAUGGUGGAGCGGUGGAAUGCGUAGAUAUCAUUUGGAACGCCAACGGAGAAAUCAGCUCGCUGGGGGUGUGCUGACGCUGAGACACGAAAGCCAGGGGAGCGAACGGG